CGGGGAAACUCACCAGGUCCAGAUGAAAUAAGGAUUGACAGAUUGAGAGCUCUUUCUUGAUUUUUCAGGUGGUGGUGCAUGGCCGUUCUUAGUUGGUGGAGUGAUUUGUCUGCUUAAUUGCGAUAACGAACGAGACCUUAACCUGCUAAAUAGCCAGGCUAGCUUUGGCUGGUCGCCGGCUUCUUAGAGGGACUAUCGGCUCAAGCCGAUGGAAGUUUGAGGCAAUAACAGGUCUGUGAUGCCCUUAGAUGUUCUGGGCCGCACGCGCGCUACACUGACAGAGCCAACGAGUUUUUCACCUUGGCCGGAAGGUCUGGGUAAUCUUGUUAAACUCUGUCGUGCUGGGGAUAGAGCAUUGCAUUA
rnacentral:rRNA from 1 species